AACGAACGCUGGCGGCAUGCCUAACACAUGCAAGUCGAACGAGACCUUCGGGUCUAGUGGCGCACGGGUGCGUAACGCGUGGGAACCUGCCUUUAGGUUCGGAAUAACUCAGAGAAAUUUGAGCUAAUACCGGAUGAUGUCUUCGGACCAAAGAUUUAUCGCCUUUAGAUGGGCCCGCGUUGGAUUAGCUAGUUGGUGGGGUAAAGGCCUACCAAGGCGACGAUCCAUAGCUGGUCUGAGAGGAUGAUCAGCCACACUGGGACUGAGACACGGCCCAGACUCCUACGGGAGGCAGCAGUGGGGAAUAUUGGACAAUGGGCGAAAGCCUGAUCCAGCAAUGCCGCGUGAGUGAUGAAGGCCUUAGGGUUGUAAAGCUCUUUUACCCGAGAUGAAAAUGACAGUAGCGGGAGAAUAAGCGCCGGCUAACUCCGUG
rnacentral:rRNA from 1 species